GACGAACGCUGGCGGCGUGCUUAACACAUGCAAGUCGAACGGAAAGGCCUCUUUCGGGGGGUACUCGAGUGGCGAACGGGUGAGUAACACGUGAGUAACCUGCCCUUGACUUUGGGAUAACUUCAGGAAACUGGGGCUAAUACCGGAUAGGAGCUCCUGCUGCAUGGUGGGGGUUGGAAAGUUUCGGCGGUUGGGGAUGGACUCGCGGCUUAUCAGCUUGUUGGUGGGGGAGUGGCUUACCAAGGCUUUGACGGGUAGCCGGCCUGAGAGGGUGACCGGCCACAUUGGGACUGAGAUACGGCCCAGACUCCUACGGGAGGCAACAGUGGGGAAUAUUGCACAAUGGGUGGAAGCCUGAUGCAGCAACGCCGUGUGCGGGAUGACGGCCUUCGGGUUGUAAACCGCUUUCGCUCAUGACGAAGCUUUGUGUGACGGUAGUGGGUAAAGAAGCACCGGCUAACUACGUG
rnacentral:rRNA from 1 species